rnacentral:lncRNA from 1 species
GAGCCGGGCUCCGCCAUCGACAGCGAAACGGCUCCGCCCGGACUCCUACGGGAGCCGGGCUCCUCCUGCAACUCCGGCUCCGAGAGGGUUCCACCCGGACUCCUACGAGAGCCAAGCUCCGACCUCAGUCUCCGACCUCAGUAUCGGCUACUGGAGCCGGACUCCACCCACGACCUCAACCAAAGGGGGGACUCCUCCCAGACUCCUGCAAAGGCCGAACUCCGACCACUCCCGAGCCUUGAUCAACAGAUCCGCGUCCCUUGACAGGUAACAAUAACAGCCAUGGACCUGUUUCACUUCCUGUGGCAGAUUCCACGCGGCUCCACCACCCCCUACGACGGACCCACUACUCUCUGACAGGCUGUAUCAAUGGCCACGAUUCUGCUCCACUCCCUGUGGCAGGUGCUGCAUGAUCCCACUACUCGCUGACAACUAGCGGCAACGGACGCCGCCCCACUACCUACAACAGGCCCUACGUGGCAGGCUAUGGCGAUAGCCACGGAUCUACCCCACUACCUUUCGCAAUCAAUUCCCCUGACCAUGGGCGGCCCGCUGCCAGGCGGUUACAAAUGUCGCCAUCAAUCCUUUGCCUCCUCCGCCUAUAAAAGGGAGACCCAGAUAUGUUAUUCUUUAAGCUCCUUUUCCCUUACCUCAAAACUCUGCUAAAUUCUCCGUUCGAGUACUCCAUUCUUGUUGAGGCAGAAAACUGACUUGAGCGUCGGAGGGUCUUGCCGG